GAAUUCUUACAAAGUAACAAAAAAAAAAAAGUUUAGACACAACUACAAUAUCUUCCAAAGUUGCCCUUGACGAGUACUCAAAAUGAAUCCGUAGUUAUCCUGAAAAAAUGUUUACCAUAGUUUGAUGAGUUUGGCUACUCAGUAAGUGAUCAUCAUAAUCCUAAAAAUAAUCACGAUUGAAAGAUAUCAAUAUUUUCCAAAAUGAGAUCUAUUAACAGAAAUGCAUCAACAGUUUCACUUUCAAUAAAUGUAUAAUUAAGUAUAAUCCGUGUAAUUGAAAUGCUUAUAACACUUUUAACGGCAGUACAUAAUUCAAAGGAUUUCACAAAAUACCCUACUGGCGUCCCAAGUAGG
rnacentral:lncRNA from 1 species